ACCUCGCUCCCGGGACUCGCCAGCGAGGGAUGCCGCCGGCCGCCGGGGGCCUUCUCCAGGACCAGGAGAGAAAUCCUCUCUCCGCUUCACGACGCGGCCACUCCCACCCCUGAGACGCCCACCUGGCGGACUCUGAGGGAGGAUUCGGCUGCGUCUAAUACCACCUCCACCCCUCAUCCCUCACAAUGCGCGGAAAACCACAGGCGGCUGUGCGCGCAGCGUCGGCUCAGCCACCGCAGCUCCUCCCCUGGGAUGAAAAAGCACUCUGACGUCUUGAAAGCUGGCAGCUCUCUGUUUGGAAAAUCUCUGCCCAGUGAAAAAAUGUACCGACAAGAUUACUAAGUAACACAGUCUUCUGGGAAUGCCUUAUCAAUGCCAGCUAUUUGAAGAGCACCCAAAGUCAAACUAGUGCUCCGCGCUGGCAGUCUGGAAAAGGCAGAUAAACCAAAAAGGAUGGAGUUCAGAGACCUUCCAUGUUGAUGAACAAGAACACAUUCACCUGCUGUAGGGGUAGGUGUACCCCAAAACUCCACUGAUACAGAAGCUUCUAUACUCAAGACCCUUCUAUACUCAAGACCCUGGAUCUUACCCUAUAUAUCUCUUCAUCUGGCUAUUUAUUUGCAUCUUUUAAUAUAUCCUUUGUAAUAAACUAGUAAUCUAGAAAGCAAACUUUUCCUAGCUCUGUAGGCCAUUCUAGUAAAUGAUUAAACCUGAGGAGGAGUUAUGGGAACCUUUGAUUUGUAGACAAGUUGGACAAAAGUGGUAUAUAUCCUAAUAUAACAUGGGAACCUGCCACUUAUGAUUGGCGUGUGAAAUUGGGGGAUGGGGAAGCAGUCUUGUGGGACUGAGCCCUUAGCCUGUGGGGUCUAAUGCUAUCUUCAGGUAAUAUCAGAACUGAGUUAAAUUAUAGGAUACCAGUCAGUGUCCAUUGGAGAACUGAAUUAUUGUGAGGAGAAACCCACACAUUUGGUGGCUAAAAGUAUUGAUGUGAGUAGUAGCAUAUAGGAGUUUUUUGCUAUAUACAUAUGUAGUGUAAGUUUAAAGUAAAAAGUUUUGUAUUGUCAGGAGUGACUUCUUUGCACCUAAAUAUCACUGCUAUAACUGCGUUACUAAGGAAUAGUUGCUUGCUUUUAUGUAUUUGGCACCUGCAGCUACUGUUCUAAAAAGUUUGCAUGUGUUAACCUAUUAAUUAAAUCUACAAAUGACUGGCUGUACCCAUGAAGUGAGUUAUUCUAAAGACAAUGGAACAUUUAAAUGGUUUAGAAAUUUUUUGAUUAAAAAUACAUUAAUAAUAUCUCCUAAAGAA
rnacentral:lncRNA from 1 species